CCGAAAGGCGUAGUCGAUGGGAAACGGAUUAAUAUUUCCGUACUUGGUAUAAUUGCGAUGGGGGGACGGAGCAGGCUAAGCAAGCAUGGCGAUGGUAGUCCAUGUGAAAGUGUGUAGGCUAGCGACUUAGGUAAAUCCGGGUUGCUGUUAGGCUGAGACACGAGACGAGUCACCAAGGUGAUGAAGUUGCUGAUGCCAUACUUCCAGGAAAAGCCUCUAAGCUUCAGAUUAUACCGAAUCGUACCCCAAACCGACACAGGUGGUCAGGUAGAGAAUACUAAGGCGCUUGAGAGAACUCGGGUGAAGGAACUAGGCAAAAUCGUACCGUAACUUCGGGAGAAGGUACGCUCCGAUUGGUGAUGAGACUUGCUCUCUAAGCUGAUUGGAGCCGCAGUGACCAGGUGGCUGGGACUGUUUAUUAAAAACACAGCACUGUGCAAAAUCGCAAGAUGACGUAUACGGUGUGACACCUGCCCGGUGCCGGAAGGUUAAUUGAUGGGGUUAUCUUCGGAGAAGCUCUUGAUCGAAGCCCCGGUAAACGGCGGCCGUAACAAUAACGGUCCUAAGGUAGCGAAAUUCCUUGUCGGGGAAGUUCCGACCUGCACGAAUGG
rnacentral:rRNA from 1 species